AUGAUGAACCUGAUAAGUAGGCCUCGCUUGGAUGCGAUCCUCUCCACUUUCGUUACAGUGCACCCUCACGAGACCUCCGCGUUGCUCCACUCCUCCUCCUGCUUCUUCUUCAUCUUGAGCGCGUAUUUCGUGGUGCUUCCAUUGCGGGAUGAGGGUGCCAUCUCUUUGGGCCUAUCGAACCUACCGGGUCUCUUUGUGGGUUCCUUGGUGCUAACUUUGAUUGCUGCGCCUCUUUCCACUCUCAUUUUCUCUUUGCCUCACCUUUCCAAAGGCAAGGCUUUGGUUUUGAUACACAGGUUUUUUAGUGUAUCACUUGUUGUAUUCUUCAUUCUGUGGCUUUCAUCGUCGGCUGAAUAUUCAGUAUCCACAUUGAAGGAUUCAAUGGCUACAUCCUCCACUACAAAAGAGGAUCAAAAGGUUGACAUUAACCAAGCCAGUUCUACAUAUUCUGUAGAUUGGGAUAACCACGGAUGGUGUUAUAUGUUAGUGAGGAUUGGAUUCUUCCUUUGGGUUGCUCUGCUUAAUCUAAUUACAAUUUCUUCAACUUGGGCAAGAGUAAUUGAUGUGAUGGACAGUGAGGUUCAAGAUUGUUUGGGUUCAUUGGUGCUGGUGCCACACUUGGCCAGCUUUUUGGGUCAUUGUUUGCCACAGGAAUGGCUCGUUUGGGGCCAUUCAUCAAAAGGGAUAAACCAGGAUGUGACCCAUGACUCCAGUCUUCCUGAGGAAUUAUCUCCCAUCAGAGAAACUGAUCCUGAUCAACAAAGUCAGUCUGAUGGGCAGACUGCAAGCACUCUCAAAAGUUGUUCUCCCAAGUCGUCUACUUCCAUGGCAAAGCCUCAGCUUUGGGCUGCCUUAGAUGGAUUCCGGCUUAUUUUGUCAUCAACUUAUUUGUUGUACAUGUCUUUGUUCCUGUGGCUGAGUGCAGUUGUCUCUUCAUUCUUCUAUUUUCAAAAAGUGACUGUAAUUGCCACAACUGUUACUAGCUCUGUUGGCAGAAGAAGAUUGUUUGCCCAGAUAAAUAGCUUCAUUGCUGUUUUUAUCCUUGCUGGACAACUAACCUUGACGGGGCGCAUUCUUACUGUUGCUGGGGUUACUACAGCUAUUUGCUCUGCUCCAUUUGUUUCCUUCUUGAAUUUGGUUGCUAUUGCUGUUUGGCCAACUUGGGUAGUCAUUGCUAUUUCCGAGACCUUGCGAAAGGUUGUUACUUAUGUUGUGACCAGGCCCGGAAGAGAACUCCUAUUUACUGUUGUCUCACAGGAUGAGAAAUACAAAGCUAAGGCAUGACUCCCUUUUUUUCCUGAAUAUAUUUUAAUGUAUGUUUUAAUUUUUUGCACAGAAAUGCAGUUGCAGCUGGUUAUGAAUGUUCAAAUUUCAAACUCUUCCUCAAGUUGAGAUAGGGCUUUGAUCUUAAGCAAUAUAUAUUCAAGCAUGUGCAUGCACUCACACACACACAAUGUUUCAUUGGCUAUUUUCUACUGCAAUAAUUGGGUACCACACACAAAUAAGGUUAAUCCAAAAACUCAUUAGAACACUUCUCUGAUAAUUCAUGCUACUGCAGGUAUGCAUAGAUGUAUUCAUUCAAAGACUUGGAGAUGCUACAGCAGCAGGGAUGUACAAGCUACUUUUCAGCACUCUCAAUGGCAGAACAUCCACUGUCUCAAUCUUUGCCCUGCCUGUAUGUUUAUUGUGGAUAGUCACAGCAUUCCAUUUAGGACGCCGCCAACAACAGCUUGCCAAGCUCCGGACAGUCUCGACUUCCUAAAAUUUUGUAAAUAUAAAACAUAUGUUGGUUGCAGAAUUGUGAUGGUCGCCACUCCAAGACAUGCCAUGCGUGUACGAUACUGCUGAUUUGCACCAUCUAAUGCACUCUCCAUUCAUGCA